GAGGCUUUAUCUUAAUUAAAGUAUCUGAGUUGCAUUCAGAAGCUAUAGGUUAGUGUCCUAUAAGUCUUA
rnacentral:tRNA from 1 species